GUAUGCGAAAAUCAACUUGAGGUGUCAUGAUGCAUAACUAUUAAUUACGCUUUCAAACGAAUCAUUUUCAAUGAUUGUUUGCCUCGCGUUUUUUGAAGUGAUAAAAAACUGUCAAUUUAGCAGCAACGCAUCAGAAAAAGUAUCAUCGCAGAAUGUUAGGUUUUUCGCACAGUUCUCCUAUGAAAAUGACAAUUCAGCGUUUGCGUCUUUGUUCGGCAGUUGUAAACAGUUGCUUCCACGGACCUGCCAACUGAAAAAGCCUAUGGAUCUUGGAAGCUAUUUUUUCUGCCACUCACCGCAUCAAAACAAAAGCGACACUGUAUAUUGAUUGUUUAUUUGUUUAUUUGUUUGUUUAUUUAUUUAUACCUCAUCUGACUUUACUCUUAAUGAGGAUUAAGAUGGGGAAAAGCCCAAGGGCAUAAAAACCCCAUAUCUUUUCAUAAAACAUAAUACAAUAUAACAUGAAAGAUCACAUACAAUCGAAUAUAAAAAAAAACACGUAUUAUAUAACAAUAGUCAAACGUCUAAAAAAUAACUUAACUAAUAAAAUACUAAUCAGCCAAUUCUGCAUCGUAAGGUUGUUGUAGCUCAUAGUAAAGGUGUAUCAGGUAUCAGAAGGCCGGCUCCAGAGGCACGUUAUCCUCCAUUUGGGACAUUUGUGCCAUCGCCAUACAUAUAAGCCUAUUUCAUCAUUUACCUGAGGGAGAAUGGGACAAGCGAUGGAAUGGGAUUAGGAAAGGGAAUGGUGAUGAAAUAGAAAGGGGUGCCCUAGAAGAGGGGAUGAACGCAUAAGCGCAACGAGAGCUCAUAGCCCAUACCACAACGGGUUCCAGUGCCCUAGAAAGGACAUUGUAAAACGCAUAAGCGUAAAGAGAGCCUAUAGCUCAUUGGAGGUAGCUUGUGACGUCAUACGACUGUCAAUAUGGCAUAGAAAGGCACGUCAUCGAAAGCAUCCCCAAUAUUCAAGAAAUCACCCAAGCAAAAACUACGUUUGAGCGAGUACUUUCUUGAAAACGUAUACAACUUUGUGUAAAAGAGUCACUGUGGACAUCCCAAAUUGGAAGGCAUGUGAGUUCACAUCAAUAGGCUUGUCAGCCAGACGAACAUCACAAAUGUAAUACUCGACAAUGCGUUUCAAGCAUUUCAGAAAGAACGAGGUAACCAGAUGAAUCUGGAACUCAUUCCUUCUUUAUACAAACCACGCACCCUUUCGGGAUAAAACUAUGGAGUAAUUUCACGCCAUGAAAAUACCCAAUAGCAAACUACAAGAGUUCAAAACACGUUUGAAAUACUCAAAUGCCUUUGGAGAAAAAAUAGGACAAACCUCCAUUUGCUCCUGGAGAUUUGAAGUAUGCAGAGCUUAUUAGGGCCCACUAAGUCGAUUAUAUGGCUCUAAUUCACGGGCGGAAGCUAGAGAUUUGUAACUAUACAAAAGAAUGGUGUAUAGAUAUUUUGAACUUGAAUAGAUCAGAGUUCCAUUCAGGAAUACCUCUUGCGGUCCACACAGGCCGCACAGGACAAGCUUCUUUCAAAGCAAUAGUUAUGGUCACGCUAACCUGAAACUACCCAUCGAUUGGGUCAAUUCUACCCGGAUUUUUAUGUUAUUCGCAGCUGUCAAAAUCUGGGUAACGGAUCUCACACCAGAAGAGUAAGGUUUACUCUGAUUGUGGGUAGAGGGGUCUUCGCGGAAAUCUCGAUACCCAUUUUUUUCUUGUUGUUAGUAGACGUCAAAAUCUGGGUAAAUGGGACUUGGGACAAUUUUUUCGCAUUGUUCGCGGCGGAGUCCAAACCGAAAAAUGACCGGCCACGAAGGAACUUUGGAUGGCGGAAACAGCAACCUGCUGACUGGUGGCAUUCUGCGCCGCUUGCCGACUGGAAAAAAAUGGCAAGGUUAGGAGUAGUCGCGGGAGGAAGUAGCCCGAUGCUGGAUAAACGAAUUGAACACCUUCUGCAAUAGUCACAGGAUCUGGCCAGCUUGGCGUGAAAAUCUACACAAAGAUGUAUGCAGGCUACCAAAUUCAAAUAUGAAUCAUCUCCAUCGUCGAACAAGCCAUUCUGCGAUAAAUUCCUUUAUAUUAGUGAUAGAAAACUGAAGACACUAAUAAAUUGCCAAUGUGUUUUAUCUUAUUAAGAUUUUCUUCUCCGGCCGAAUAAUAAAAUUUAGGGGGGAUGACAUUGUGCAUGAUUACUCAUUUAUGUAAAAAUGGGUACAGAAUACCCUGAUGAGAAACGUCUAAAUCAGGGUAUCCUUUACCCAGAUUUUGCAGCCAAUACCGGUAACCCAGAUUUGAGUAAAGGUACCUUUACCCACUUUAGAGUAACUGCAGUUUUGCUCGAUCUGGGUCGCUUUGACAUCAAUCUGGGUAGCUGGGGGUUAGCGUGUAUAUACACGCUUACCUGAAACUACCCAUCGACUGGGUCGAUCUUACCCGGAUUUUCAUGUUAUUAGAAGUUGUCAAAAUCCGGGUAACCGAUCUCGCAACAGAAGAGUAAGCUUUACUCUGAUUGUGGGUAAACGGGUCUUUGCGAAAAUCCCGAUACUCAGUUUAUCCUGGUUGUACGUUGAUGUCAGGAUCUGGGUAAACAUCUGGGUAAGUGGGAUUUGUCAAAAACAUUAACAUUGUGCGCGGCGUGUAUUCCAUAAAGUUAGAGGCUGUCGUAAAAUUUCGGAAAAAUGGAAUCGCGAAAGCUGCAAACAGAUAUUUUUGCAACAUUCCCGGUUACCCAGCCGGCUACAACAUCUUCAGCAAAGGAGCCCGAUGUAGGCGCGCGGAACGAAACUUGUUGCGAGGCUGCCCAUUGAAAUCUGGUGCAUUUUUUAUCAUUAUAAAUAGCCUACUAAUGUUAUUUUACUUGUUGAGACGUAAAUAAAUACUAUCUGUUUUA